GACGAACGCUGGCGGCGUGCCUAAUACAUGCAAGUCGAACGCACUCUCGUUUAGAUUGAAGGAGUUUGCUCCUGAUUGAUAAACAUUUGAGUGAGUGGCGGACGGGUGAGUAACACGUGGGUAACCUGCCCUAAAGUGGGGGAUAACAUUUGGAAACAGAUGCUAAUACCGCAUAAAACCUAACACCGCAUGGUGUAGGGUUGAAAGAUGGUUUCGGCUAUCACUUUAGGAUGGACCCGCGGUGCAUUAGUUAGUUGGUGAGGUAAAGGCUCACCAAGACCGUGAUGCAUAGCCGACCUGAGAGGGUAAUCGGCCACACUGGGACUGGGACACGGCCCAGACUCCUACGGGAGGCAGCAGUAGGGAAUCUUCCACAAUGGACGAAAGUCUGAUGGAGCAACGCCGCGUGAGUGAAGAAGGUUUUCGGAUCGUAAAACUCUGUUGUUGGAGAAGAAUGUAUCUGAUAGUAACUGAUCAGGUAGUGACGGUAUCCAACCAGAAAGCCACGGCUAACUACGUG
rnacentral:rRNA from 1 species